rnacentral:tRNA from 1 species
GGGGAUAUAGCUCAGUUGGUAGAGUGCUUGCAUCACAUGCAUAAGGCCCUGGGUUCAAUCCCAGUAAAACCG